GAUGAACGCUGGCGGCGUGCCUAAUACAUGCAAGUCGAGCGAACAGACGAGGAGCUUGCUCCUCUGACGUUAGCGGCGGACGGGUGAGUAACACGUGGAUAACCUACCUAUAAGACUGGGAUAACUUCGGGAAACCGGAGCUAAUACCGGAUAAUAUAUUGAACCGCAUGGUUCAAUAGUGAAAGACGGUUUUGCUGUCACUUAUAGAUGGAUCCGCGCCGCAUUAGCUAGUUGGUAAGGUAACGGCUUACCAAGGCAACGAAGCGUAGCCAACCUGAGAGGGGGAUCGGCCACACUAGAAACGGAACACCGUCCAGGCUCCUUAGGGAGGCAACCGUAGGGAACCUUCCCACAAGGGUGGAAACCUGACGGAGCCACGGCGCGUUAGUUAAGAAGGUCUUCCGAUCGUAAAACUUUGUUAUUAGGUAAGAACAAAUUUUGAAGUAACUGAUCCCGUUUUGACGGUAACGUAUCAGAAAGCCCCGGCUAAACACGUG
rnacentral:rRNA from 1 species